UACGGAGGGUGCAAGCGUUAUCCGGAUUCACUGGGUUUAAAGGGUGCGUAGGUGGGUUGGUAAGUCAGUGGUGAAAUCUCCAGGCUUAACUUGGGAACUGCCAUUGAUACUAUUUGUCUUGAAUGUCGUGGAGGUUAGCGGAAUAUGUCAUGUAGCGGUGAAAUGCUUAGAUAUGACAUAGAACACCUAUUGCGAAGGCAGCUAACUACGCGAAUAUUGACGCUGAGGCACGAAAGCGUGGGGAUCAAACAGG
rnacentral:rRNA from 1 species